ACACGGAGGGCGCAAGCGUUGCUCGGAAUCACUGGGCGUAAAGCGGGUGUAGGCGGUCUAGCAAGUCAGAUGUGAAAGCCCACGGCUCAACCGUGGAAGUGCAUCUGAAACUGCUAGACUUGAGUGCCGGAGAGGGAAGUGGAAUUCCUGGUGUAGGGGUGAAAUCCGUAGAUAUCAGGAGGAACACCGGUGGCGAAGGCGACUUCCUGGACGGCAACUGACGCUGAGACCCGAAAGCGUGGGGAGCAAACAGGAUUAGAAACCCUUGUAGUCC
rnacentral:rRNA from 1 species